rnacentral:rRNA from 1 species
AACGGCCGCGGUAUCCUAACCGUGCAAAGGUAGCAUAAUCACUUGCCUAUUAAUUGUAGGCUAGAAUGAAUGGGUUAACGAAAUAAAGACUGUCUCAAUUAAUAACCUAAAAAUUACUAUCUAUCUGAAGAAGGGUAGAUAACCUCGAAGGACAAGAAGACCCUAUAGAGCUUAAUUUUAAUUAUAGGGAUACACUAUAAAAAUAUUCGGUUGGGGCGACCCAGGGCUAAUUAAUCACCCAAUAAAUAAAAGAUAAAUUAAUCAAGUAAUUGACCCCUAAAAGAUCAUAAGAACAAGCUACCUUAGGGAUAACAGGCUAAUCCCACUCAAGAGUCCUUAUCAACAGUGGGGUUUGGCACCUCGAUGUUGGCUUAGG